rnacentral:rRNA from 1 species
CACGUAGGGCGCAAGCGUUGUCCGGAAUUAUUGGGCGUAAAGAGCUCGUAGGCGGUCUGUUGCGUCCGCUGUGAAAACCCAGGGCUUGACCCUGGGCUGGCAGUGGAUACGGACAGACUAGAGGUAGGUAGGGGAGAAUGGAAUUCCCGGUGUAGCGGUGAAAUGCGCAGAUAUCGGGAGGAACACCGGUGGCGAAGGCGGUUCUCUGGGCCUUACCUGACGCUGAGGAGCGAAAGCGUGGGGAGCGAACAGG